CAGUCACACAGACCAGCCGCCCAGACAGGCCACAGACAAGUCAGGAUGAGGCUGGGAUUGCAGGUUCUGCUUCUGGAAGCCGAGCUCAUGUAAGGCGCCCAUCACAGGGCUUGGGCCACUUACCCAGGAGGCCAAGCAAGACACGGCGUCUUGGCUCGGAUUCUGCGGCUCCAUCAUCCCCACCCAGGCGAAGACUUUCGGCAGUGUCACCCCAGCCACCACUGGCACUAUUGGCGAGUUCUCAGAGUGAUGAGCCCCGAUCACCUCAGUUAUCUGAGCACAGCAUGAUGGCCGACGUGGACCAGCAGGGCCAAGACCAACAGCAAACCAUCACACUGCAACUUACACCUGUUGAGCCAAGCCA